rnacentral:rRNA from 1 species
AUUGAACGCUGGCGGCAGGCUUAACACAUGCAAGUCGAACGAGUGGCGGACGGGUGAGUAAUGUCUGGGAAUCUGGCCAAUAGCGGGGGAUAACUACGGGAAACUGUCGCUAAUACCGCCUACUAUAGGAUGAGCCCAUAUGGGAUUAGCUAGUGGGGGGGGUAAAGGCCCACCAAUCCACGAUCUCUAGCUGGUCUGAGAGGAUGACCAGCAACAGUGGGACUGAGACACGGCCCAGACUCCGACGGGAGGCAGCAGUGGGGAAUAUUGGGCAAUGGGGGAAACCCUGACGCAGCCAUGACGCGUGAAUGAAGAAGGCCUUAGGGUUGUAAAGUACUUUCGGUGGCGAGGCGUUAAUAGCAGAAGAAGCACCGGCUAACUCCGUGCCAGCAGCCGCGGUAAUAC